rnacentral:rRNA from 1 species
GACGAACCGAGCAAACGUUAUUCGGAAUCACUGGGCUUAAAGGGCGCGUAGGCGGGCAUUCAAGUCCGUGGUGAAAUCCGGCAGCUCAACUGUCGAACUGCCGCGGAUACUGGGUGUCUCGAGGGAGGUAGGGGCGUGCGGAACUAUUGGUGGAGCGGUGAAAUGCGUUGAUAUCAAUAGGAACGCCGGUGGCGAAGGCGGCACGCUGGACCUCUUCUGACGCUGAGGCGCGAAAGCCAGGGGAGCAAACGGG